rnacentral:rRNA from 1 species
AUGCCGAUCGAGCUGCCUAGGGGGCUGCCCUUCGCGGUGGACACUUGGACCCCCGCCUCCGCCCUCAAGCGCCACCGCUUCCUCACCCACGCCCACCGCGACCACCUCGCCGGCAUCACCACCACCAGCGCCGCAGGCGCCGUCUACGCCUCGCGCCUCACCGUCCUCAUCGCCCGCCACAUCUUCCCUCAGCUUGGCCCAGACGCGUUCGUGGAGAUGGAGCUCGGGGCGCCGGUGCUCGUCCCGGAUCCCGACGGUGACUUCACCGUCACCGCUUUCGACGCCAACCACUGCCCUGGCGCGGUGAUGUUCCUGUUCGAGGGCGCCUUCGGCAACGUCCUGCACACCGGCGACUGCCGCCUCACUCCUGACUGCAUUCAGGGCCUGCCGUUCAGGUACAUCACUGCGGAGGCACCAGGAGCAAGCCAGGCGCCGCCGUCGUGCCGCAUCGACUACCUCUUCCUGGACUGCACGUUUGCCAAGUGCCCGCUGCAAUUCCCGGCCAAGGAGGCCUCCAUACGUCAGGUGAUCAAUUGCAUCUGGGAGCACCCUAAUGCGCCGACAGUGUAUCUCGUGUCCGACAUGCUGGGACAGGAGGACAUACUGAUCGAGGUGUCCAGGGCGUUCGGGUCAAAGAUAUACGUCGACAAGGACAAGAAUUCAGAGUGCUACCACACCCUCUCGCUCGUCGCACCGGAAAUCCUCACCGAGGACGCGUCCUCUCGCUUUCAGGUGAUCGAAUUCUCCCGGUUGUCAGAGCGGGCAACGGAUAUGCUUGCAUUAGCACGGGCGAGGCAGCAGCCUGAGCCCCUCAUCAUCAGGCCUUCUACCCAGUGGUACGCGCACUACGCGGCACCAGAUGCGUCGCUGAAGCAGAAGCCGGCGCUGACGGAGCCUAUGCGGGAUGAAUUCGGGGUGUGGCACGUGUGCUUGACGAUGCAUUCGUCUCGCGAGGAGCUGGAGCAGGCCCUGCGAUUCCUCCAGCCUAAGUGGGUCAUCUCGACAACACCUCCUUGCCUUGCCAUGGAUCUGGCCUAUGUCAAGAAACACUGCUUCCUGUCCCGGCUAAGCCCCGAGGAUCCCAUCUGGAAGUUGCUCGGAAUACCUCAUGGAAAUCGUACUGUCACAGGCUCACCGCAGGCGGCGAUAACCACAGUAGAAGCCAUUAAGCAGAGCGAGGAACAAGAGUCGGAAGACACUUGUUCUGCUGUUUGCAGCCAGGUAUUACAAGAUGAAGGACCGGUGUUACAAGAUUUUGCAAUUGAGGUGGCGCAGCCGGUGACAUUGUUUGGGAGAGCAAGGUUUGGAUUACCUCAGGACUUUGAACUGUGGAAAGACAAGUAUGAGAGUGUUCAAGUGGCCGAGGAGGUCAAAUUUGAGGAGGAAUUGCAGAAUUCAAAUGCAAAAUCCUUCGAGCUAUGGAAGGACUUCAAAUCUGACAAGGGCACUGCCCACAUGAUUGAUUUAACUCAAGCUGUAACAAACGAGCUCCAUGGUUCAGCAAUAGAACCUGAGUUGCAGAAGGACUGUGAAUCCAUCGACGGCAUUCAAGUAAUCGACAUUACUCAUGGUGAAGUGCGUGAGCACAGCUCGAGUAGGGACGGCUGUGCUGAACUUGCCAAGGAUGUGAAAUGCAAUCAGGGUGCAGAACAAAUCAGGGAGAGUGUCAAAUUCAUCGCUGAGACAGUACAAGCUAAAGUAGAAGCAACAGAAGAACUGCUUUCUGAGGAUCGCAUUGUUCUAUCCGACAUUAGCAACAGAUCUGAAGGCCCUGACACUGACAGAGCAGAUACUGCUGGAGUCGGGUCAUCGAAGGUUUUGAAUGCAAAGCUGAGGAGGCUGUACAGGUCGAUGAACGUGGCAGUUCCUCGGCCAUUGCCAUCAUUGGUGGAGCUCAUGGGAGCCUCCAAACGACCAAGGGUCUCCUCCCAGUUUCGUCAUCUGUGA